rnacentral:rRNA from 1 species
AGAGUUUGAUCCUGGCUCAGGAUGAACGUUGGCGGCGUGCCUAAGGUAUGCAAGUCGAGGGAGAAUCCCGCCCUGUUUACAGGGCGGGAGGAAACCGGCAAACGGCUGAGUAACGCGUAGGAACUUUCCCCUAAGUCAAGCAUAGCUACCCGAAAGGGUAAUUAAUACUGGAUAUUCUAUGUUCAUUCGUGAAUAUAGCAAAGGCCUUGUCCCGCCCCUGUUUUUUAAUAAUAGAAAAUAGAGGCGGGAUGAAGUCGCUUAGGGAUAGGCCUGCGUCCUAUCAGGUUGUUGGUGAGGUAAUGGCUCACCAAGCCUAUGACGGGUAGCUGGACUGAGAGGUUGUACAGCCAGAAUGGGACUGAGACACGGCCCAUACUCCUACGGGAGGCAGCAAUUAGGAAUCUUGCGCAAUGGACGAAAGUCUGACGCAGCGACGCCGCGUGGAGGAUGACGGCCUUCGGGUUGUAAACUCCUUUUAUCAGGAAACAAUAAAUGAGGGUACCUGAUGAAUAAGGCCCCCCUAACUACGUGCCAGAAGGGUCGGUGAUGCGUAGGGGCCAAACGUUAUCCGGAAUUACUGGGCGUAAAGAGAUGCGUAGGCGACUAGGCAAGUCUAAUGUGAAAGACCGAGGCUCAACUUCGGAAUUGCGUUAGAAACUGCUUAGAUUGAGUCAGAUAGAGGGAGGCGGAAUUUCUGGUGUAGCGGUGAAAUGCGUUGAUAUCAGAAAGAACACCAAUUGCGAAGGCAACCUCCUGGGUCUUGACUGACGCUAAGGCUCGAAAGCGUGGGUAGCAAAACGGAUUAGAUACCCGUGUAGUCCACGCCCUAAACGAUCCCUACUAGAUGUGUGAUUGGUAUUUUCAUCUUAACUUCGGUUAUUAUGUGAAUUUCGAUUACGUGUCGCAGCUAACGCGUUAAGUAGGGCGCCUGGGGAGUACGGCCGCAAGGCUAAAACUCAAAGGAAUUGACGGGGACCCGCACAAGCGGUGGAUGAUGUGGUUUAAUUCGAUGCAACGCGAAAAACCUUACCCACCUUUGACAUGUACGGAACUUGCCAGAGAUGGCUUGGUGCCCGAAAGGGAGCCGUAACACAGGUGCUGCAUGGCUGUCGUCAGCUCGUGUCGUGAGAUGUUGGGUUAAGUCCCGCAACGAGCGCAACCCCUGCACUGUGUUAUAUAUUUCUCAGUGAACCGCCCUGCCAAAACGGGGAGGAAGGCGGGGAUGAUGUCUAGUCAUCAUAGUCCUUAUGUCUUGGGCUACACAGGCGCUACAAUGGCUUUUACAAUGGGUUGCCAAACCGCAAGGUGGAGCUAAUCCCAUAAAAAUAGCCUCAGUUCAGAUUGUCGGCUGAAAUUCGCCGGCAUGAAGUCGGAAUUACUAGUAAUCGCAGAUCAGCAUGCUGCGGUGAAUACGUUCUCGGGUCUUGUACACACCGCCUGUCAAGUCACGGAAGUCGGU